rnacentral:rRNA from 1 species
UCACCCUUGUCUUUUGCGUACUUCUUGUUUCCUUGGUGGGUUCGCCCACCACUAGGACAAACAUAAACCUUUUGUAAUUGCAAUCAGCGUCAGUAACAAAUUAAUAAUUACAACUUUCAACAACGGAUCUCUUGGUUCUGGCAUCGAUGAAGAACGCAGCGAAAUGCGAUAAGUAGUGUGAAUUGCAGAAUUCAGUGAAUCAUCGAAUCUUUGAACGCACAUUGCGCCCUUUGGUAUUCCAAAGGGCAUGCCUGUUCGAGCGUCAUUUGUACCCUCAAGCUUUGCUUGGUGUUGGGCGUCUUGUCUCUAGCUUUGCUGGAGACUCGCCUUAAAGUAAUUGGCAGCCGGCCUACUGGUUUCGGAGCGCAGCACAAGUCGCACUCUCUAUCAGCAAAGGUCUAGCAUCCAUUAAGCCUUUUUUUCAACUUUUGACCUCGGAUCAGGUAGGGAUACCCGCUGAACUUAAGCAUAUCAAUAAGCGGAG